rnacentral:rRNA from 1 species
AGAACGAACGCUGGCGGCAGGCUUAACACAUGCAAGUCGAGCGCCCAGCAAUGGGAGCGGCGGACGGGUGAGUAACACGUGGGAACAUGCCCUUUGGUACGGGACAACUCAGGGAAACUUGAGCUAAUACCGUAUGAGCCGGUAACGGGAAAGAUUUAUCGCCAAAGGAAUGGCCCGCGUCCGAUUAGCUAGUUGGUGAGGUAACGGCUCACCAAGGCGACGAUCAGUAGCUGGUCUGAGAGGAUGAUCAGCCACAUUGGGACUGAGACACGGCCCAAACUCCUACGGGAGGCAGCAGUGGGGAAUAUUGGACAAUGGGCGCAAGCCUGAUCCAGCCAUGCCGCGUGAGUGAUGAAGGCCCUAGGGUUGUAAAGCUCUUUUGUGCGGGAAGAUAAUGACGGUACCGCAAGAAUAAGCCCGGCUAACUUCGUGCCAGCAGCCGC